AUAUGUAGUAUACUCUACAUGAUAAACCUACAAUACUCUAGAAUAGUAUUCAACUUGUAGCAGUAAAGUAUAAUAAUUAUAUGCAUAUACAUGCAUGUAUACUCUUAUAUAUAUGUAUAAGUUUGAUGAAGAAAGGUGAAAUGAAGAAAGAGCAUAAAAGAAUACAAGUAUUAUUACUCAUAUUUGUCUAAAUUUAUAACACGUUAUCAGCACGAUCACUCUAUCUCAUCAUACACAUAUAGUCUGUUAUAGUUGCUACCAAGUAAAAUCUUGUGAAGAAUGAAUUUGCUGCACUUGAUAUCAUGGAAAAAAAUUACAUGUCUUGGAUUAUUGAUGUUGAAAUGCAUCUAGAAUCAAUGGGCCUUAUUGAUACCAUUAAGGAGAUAAAUAAUGCAACAUCCCAAGAAAAGGCAGAGACAAUGAUUUUUCUCCGUCGACAUCUUGAUGAAAGUUUAAAAUAUGAAUAUCUUACUAUAAAAGAUCCAAGUGCAUUAUGGAAAGAUCUUAAAGAAAGAUACGACCAUCAAAAGGAUGUUGUUCUUCCAGGCACACGUGAUGAAUGGAACGGUCUACGUUUCCAAGACUUUAGAAAGGUCAAUGAUUAUAAUUCAAUAAUGUUCAGAAUCGUUUCUCAACUAAAAUUCUCUGGGCAGAAAAUCACAGAAGAGGAAAUGUUGGAUAAAAUGUGUAAAGCCCGCUUAGUUAAUUUGGAAAUUAGCAGUUAUUUAUGUUAAUCAUGAAAUUAUUUAUAGCUAUUUAAAUAAUUUAGUAUUGAUAUUUAUGGAAUUCAGAUGUGCAUGAGUAUGUUAUCAGUAGCUUUUAUAUUUCGCAUUUCCGGUGUCCGGUAUUUUGGAACGCGGCGUUUGGCUCAGUAGAAAUCACAACUUAGUAUGUUAGUAUUUUGGGGACGGGUUUUAGACAUUGGGAAUGUCGGGAAUGGCCGGGAAUUUAGAAUGUCCCAAAAAUACCCCCCCUUUAGUAUAAUUUUUGUGAUUUUAUGGUGGAGGGGCAAAAUGGUCUUUUUGCCCCAUUAGUGUUUUGUCUUAUAUGAGUUUAUUAAAUAAAAUAAAUGUUUAUUUAUUUAAUUGCUUUUGGCUGAAAUGGGUUUAAUAAAAUGGCAUUAUUCUUCA